CACCUUUCUAACACAUGAAGGAUUUUUUUCCUAGCCUCUGUUCAUCCAUGUGCAUAGACAUCUAUAUGACAGUUUUUAUUUAUGUAACGUAGAGGCACUCAGGCCUGUUGUACAAUGGAGGGUCAGUCCACUCUCUAGAUAUAAUGUAGGAAGAAGUCACUUCCCCCUUCACCCCCCGCCCAUUCUGGGGCCUGUACAAAGCAGAUCUAGGAGCUUGGGAGGAACCUGAAGCAGACUGGGGAAACCUGAGAGAAAAGGCGCAUGACUGAUCCCAAGGUAUGCCUCACUCAGCCUGAUGCAUGACCUAGGAGGUCCAGAGAUCCAUCGCUGACCCUAGAACACAACACCAUUUCUCCACGAGACCCCAGACAUCAUUUCUAUCCCUUUAAACAAUGGCUGGAAUCUUCAUGUUGGCAAUUGUAUCAAAUCCAUACUCUAACCAAACGAGGCCCUAUAUUAUCUUGGCCUGUGGGUAGAAGGUGGUAUUCAAUAAAUGUUGAGAGGAAAAAGGUAAUAAUAUAAAAUCCUAAGAUUAUGUUGGAGAUACAGAGAAGGCCUCGAUACUCCCCUGUGGUGAUUUGAUCCCCAAAGACACAUCAGCACCAAAGUCAGCAAGAAACUACACAGACAAGUCGUUUUUAUUGUCUCACUUGCUUAUAAAACCCCAGCCUCUUCCCCAGUCCUUCCACAAUCUGAGCUGGCAGAACUCCUAAGGAAGACAACUGUAGCAAUCCUGGGCUUGUUGUUUCUGGCUCCCCUGCCCUGUUUCUUCAGGUUGUCUUGUAACAGGCCAGCCGUUCACCUGCCAGCAGACUUUGACGUCUCUGGAUUCCCAGCUGUGCUGAGCCCUAACAGGUUACAUCUCACAGGCUUUGAAUUGCUCAAGGUCUCUGAAAGAGAAACAACAGGAACAGGAGCCCCUGGCAGCCGAGAAUAAUGAUCUGUAAAGGCUGUUCACAAGGAUCCACUACUGAGUAGUAAUAAUAACAAUAGCUUCCAUUGAUUGUGCCAGAAACAGUGCUGAGCCCGUUACAGAAAGUAUUUCAUUUAAUCUUCACAAAAAUCCUGAAGGUAGGAGUUAUUGUCUUUUUCUUUUCCAGAAGGGGAAACUGAGACUUAGAUAUCUUAAUUAGCUUACAUAAGUUCCAGUAUAGUUAGAAAGUGGCAGAAGUAGAAUUUGAAUGCAGCAAGCAAAGGGGCUGCUACGUGAGGAGACCACUGUUUCCUGUUGGGGAACCUAAUGCAGGAGCUCCUUAACAGUUUGCCCUGGGCCUCAGGCCUAUGAGUUCACGUGUGCCCUGCCCUGACUGUGAUUUGAGUCCUGUUUGCUCCUCGUUCCAGCCUGAAAUGCCCUGGAGCGUAGAACAACCUCAACCCCGGUAAAGUGAUCAGACUGGGACAGAAAGAGGCAGUAAAGCUGGGACAGGGGGUGGUUCCUGUGGCAAGUUCAUGUACCGAUCACAAGGAAGUGGUUUUGGAUGUCCCUAUCAACUGAGAUCAAAGAAGAGUGGCAGCCGCUGCAGCAGAGCCACUCCCAAGACUCAGAUGUCGCUACGUCUCAAUUUAUUUUCACGGGACGCAAGAAAAGCUCUUGUCUCCUUUGCAGGUAAUAAAUCUGUCCAUUCCAAGUGAUGGAAAACUAGUGUGUUUGCGAGGAGGAAAGGAGGGGGACAAGGAAUAUGCACUGAGGGAACAAAGAAAGGAUAGGAGAAAUAAGAGCGACAACCAGAGAGGGGACAGUGAAGCCUUGCGAGGCACCAGGGGCAUGGUGUAAAGCGCUCCUGUUUCCCAACUUGCCCUUCACAAAAGCCUGACUGCAGAGCCAGCCCUGGGCCAUGAACAGGAAAGAGGUGGUGGGCAGGGAGAGCAGCAGGUGGAGGGCAGAUCUGAUAGGAUCCCACACACACCUACGCUUCCCUCAUCCCCACCCCACCUCAUCAAGUCUCCCUUUCUUUCUCUCCUGUUCUUCCUUUCCCAUUCUGCCACUCCCUUUUCACUUCCCAUCUCUCUAUCCUUUACUUUUUUCUUCGCUGCCUGUUGUCUGACCCUGUAAAUGCUCUACUCAGAAGCGUGCAGCCCUAAAAGAACUGCUAGCCCUAUCACUGCAGUGUGACUCAUUAGUACGUUGGUAUACUGGGAAAUGAACUGAGUGAGACAUUUAAGUCCAAAGGGUCCAGUGUCCCUAUUCUCACUGAGGUCAAGUCCUGUGGGUUAGCAGUUAAUAGCAUUGUACGCUUUCAAAGCUGUAACUCAGUCCUGAAUCUUUGCCUACUCCACCCAGGACCCUGUGGUGGCCUUUGAACUGUGUCUUGUGUAAUAUCUUGCAAUUCCACUGCUGCAGGGGAAAGAUGUUUGCAUGCCAUGGGAACCUGUGACUCAGUGCUCUGACUCUUAUUCCUGCUGAGACCUAGGUUGGUGUCUUUAUACCUUUGUGUUCUUGAAAUUGUCUGUUAGUGUGAUUAGUUUGGAUUUAGUUUUAAAGGCUAAGGUAUUCUUUUUACUGCCAGGGGAGAGUGUGUUCUGAGGGGAAUGUACUGUAUUCAGAGGGAAUAUAGUACAAUGCUAAUAUAUAGACAGUUGGACAACAGUAGAUGGUAAAAUUCACUCUCUAGUACUGUUAAAGUGCUAGACCAUUCAUUCAUUCAUUCAACAUAUAUUUAAAUAUGUCAGAAGUGAUACAUGCUAUAAAUAAAAUUAAAGUUUGGUAAAGGGAUAAAAAAUAUAGGAGGGCUAUAUUAGAUAGGUCGGUCAGGAAGCCCUCACUAAAAAAGUGACAUUUAAGCAGAGCUCUGAAAGAAGUAAGGGAGUGAGACAUGCAAACAUCUGGAGAAGAAUGUUCCAGAGAGAAAGGACAGCAAGUGCAAUGGUCCUGAGAUGGAAAUGAGCUUGGUGAGUUUGAAGAACAGCAAGAAGGCCAGUCAAAUCAUAACAGACUCAGGAGGAAAAUAGCACAGUCACAGAGGUAUGCAGAGGCUGCUAAGCUCUAAUAAAUAGUUUUGAUUGGAUUGUAAAUGUGAUGAGAAAUCGUUGAAGCAUUUGAACAGGAGAGUCACCAGAUCAGAUUUGUUUUAGAAAGAUCACUCUGGCCUCUGGUUAAAUAAUAGACCUCAGAGAGCAGGAGUGGAAGCGGGAAAACAAGUUAGAAGGCUAUUAGAGCAGCCAAAGUAAGAGAGGAUGAUGGCUCUCUGAUUUGGGAUAUAUUUUGUAGAUAGAGAUAAGAGGACUUAGUGAUGGAUGUGGGUUGUGAGGGAAAGAAAGGAUUCAAUAUCUCUUCUAGGUUUUUAGCCUGAGCAAUGGUGAAUGAUGGAGCCAUUUACUGAGAUCGGAAAAAUUUGGGAGGAAGAUCAUUUUCAAGCAUACUAACCACUUUUGGAGGAUGUGGUGACUCACAGACUUAAAGAUGUAGAGUGUGGAUUCUCGAUGAGGAAAAGCCCACCUUGAAAGAGCAAGCUAUUCAAAUGCUGCUGAAUGGAAGCCCAGAAUUUACGCCUUUGGGUCACAUCACCUGACAUCAGAUGAUCUGGAUUCUUCACAGAACCGUGAGGUUCAAGGAUUGCAUCCUAUUCAAAAGGUUGAGGAUAUGUGCCUCAGGAUACUUCAGGGUAUUUAACAGGAUUAAUAAAUAGCCAUGCACACAAAAAUGGAAGAUUUAUUGUAGCCAUGGUGUUUCAAGAACCAAUAAAGACUUCACCCACAAUAUUUUCUCAUGAGGUGUUUUGCCAGAAUUACCAAAUAAGCUAAGACUUCAUGUUCAUGUUUAACAUUACAAUGUUCACACAGCUAAUCUGGCCACGGACUUCUUUGUGGAGAGGGUAUCACUCGUCCUUCCUAGAGAUGAAGCCUUUUGGGAAGGAACACAGGAACCUGGGUGCAGAACGUCUGUGCCAUUAGAAAGCCUGAUUGAAAAAGGUGUUGGCAGAAUUCUCAAAGUAUUUCCCAAAAGACUGGAAGCUUAAAUAGCUCCUGCUGGCUUUGUCCCCUUUAACUGGGUCAAGUCUGUUUGGAAUCUCCUCCUUCAAGGGAGUUGCUCACCAACUAGACCCCAUUAUUGUACUCAUUCACUUGAAAACUAGACAGAUAUAUUUUUGCUAUUAGAAAAACAUACAAAGAGCUUGGUUAUCUUACCAAACAAGGUUUCUUCAAAUCAGUCGCAAGUAACACCAUGGGCUGUAUCUAUUGUGUAUCUGGAGUCAUUAAUGACAGGCAUAGGCUUUGAAUGGGCCAGGUCAGAGUUUUGAGUCCAGCUUUGCCACUUACUGCUUUGGUGCAAACUCAGGAUAAUGACAGUACCCACAUAAUAGGGUUACUGUGAGAAUUAGAUGAGUUAACAUCCUCAAAGAGAUUAGAAGAG
ensembl:lncRNA